GAUAGUUCAGUUGGUAGAGCAUGAGAUUCUUAAUCUGAGGGUUGUUGGUUUAAGCCAUAUUGCA